UACGUAGGGGGCAAGCGUUGUUCGGAAUUACUGGGCGUAAAGGGCGCGUAGGCGGCACAGCAAGUCGGGCGUGAAAGCCCGGGGCUCAACCCCGGAAUGGCUUUCGAAACUGCUGAGCUAGAGUACAGAAGGGGCAACCGGAAUUCCCAGUGUAGCGGUGAAAUGCGUAGAUAUUGGGAAGAACACCUGAGGCGAAGGCGGUUUGCUGGGCUGAUACUGACGCUGAGGCGCGAAAGCCAGGGGAGCAAACGGG
rnacentral:rRNA from 1 species